UUUUUCCACUCUAUGCAAAGCUAACUUAUAUUCCUAACUGAGAAAUGUGACAAGUGGCUGAGCUAUGUUCAUGCAGUGCCUGCUGCCAUUCUCAGAGCUGUGACUUCUAUGUCAGAGGGAGAACAGUGCUGGACAAAAAUCCCAGAGUAAAUAAAUUGUCUGAGUUCUCCAUGUCUUCAAUUAUUUCUGUAAAAUGGGAAUAAUAAUGCUUCCCAUCUCCUGCUACUUUUUUUCACUUUAGUAUUGACUAAUAAUCAGUCAUUGUCAAGUCACUUUAAAAUUCUGUGGAACCAGCACAGCAUCCUUUCCUUCAAAGUGCAUUCUACAGAUUGGCUUGCUUCUUCACGCAAAUUGAACAGCUGGAUCCUCCCCCCUCAUGGGGACAGCACGAGCAAGUUAAAAACGGAAAGACAACUUGAAGCGGUAACCUUUGCAGCUAAACGGAAAGGUGCAUGAAUGUCUGCUGAUUUCCAGCUCUGGAAGAGAAAACGGGCAGCUCUGGAGGAGAAAAUGAUGCUAUUGUAAAUGCCACCUUCCCUCAGAAGUCCUGUGGACUCCCAGGAUGGCAGCGGGAGGAUCCUCAGCCCAGAAAGCAGUGUAGAAUGAGGAGGAGGAGAAGGAGGAGGAAGCUCUGUCCUGGUCUUGCACACAGGCUUUCAUCGUGCAAUCACUUGCUUCAGCCUCAUCACCCCUCAAAGUCUGAAGGUCAUUUUGGGCAGUGUCUCAGUUUUUCAGUAAAAGAAC